GAAAAUUUAGUUUAGUUAGAAUGUUAAAUUGUAAAUUUAAUGGUUGUGAAUUUUUG
rnacentral:tRNA from 1 species